UUCUGUUUCUCCCUAGUCCACGUAUUGGUUUCAAGCCCCAUUGCUGUGUCAGAGAAGCCUAAGGAAGAAAAGGGUUGUUUUAACUCACCGUUUGGGGGUACAGUCCUUAAUGGUGGGGAAAUGACGGCAGCUGUCAUAUCGCAUUUGCAGUCAGCAGGCCAAGGCGGUAUGUGUUGCUGGCCAGCCCACUUUCUCCUCGGCUACUACUUUCCCUUCUGCAUUCCUCUUCAGAAGGUUUUUACAAGCAAAAGCGAGCAAGCAAACAACAGAGUCUACAAUUGAUGAGCCCCUUCAUAUCACCGAACACCCAGUGCAUGGCAGUUGGAGCAGCUACCAGACCUCAUCAGAGAAGUGUCUUCUGACACCAUAUGGCGAUUAAUGCAAAAACUUGUAUCUGGUUAAAGUACAGAAAAUAAGGGUCAGUGGAGUGCUCGGCUAUAAAUGAACCAUCCACAUCACAUCCCUCUCCCAAGACUCAGAACCACAGAAGAAGAAAAGGUAGAAAGAUGAUACGAGUCAGAUAUCUGAGAAGACCAGAGCAAAACUGUCUUCUGCACGUAACAGGACUCUUUCAUGUCACUCCUUGGCUUCUGCUAGGUUUCUACCAUUUAAAGACAAAAAUUCAAGGUUUUCAGUAUGGUCUUUAGGAUCCUUUAACAUUCUGUCCCCAGACUACCUCUGCUUUAUAUCUGACUUCCUACUCACUAUACACAAAAUUUAUUCCUUGGCCCACAAUCAAAUUUCUCACUGUCUUCAGACAUUCUAUGCCCUGCCCUAGCUUUGUGCCUCUAUUUAAGUCAGCUUUAUUAAGGCAACCUGCUAUAACAACCAUCCUCACUUCCUGUGGGGCUUAAACAUAUGGGGUUAGUUCCUGCUGUAUUAAUUAUACAUUUUUUUGCAGGCGUUCCUUAGCUCUAUUUCAGAGUCUUGAUUCUGGUAGCAAAAAUGAGCCACCCCUUUCUGACAUGGAUUUCUCCCAUAGAAAGGAAACAGAAACAUUGGAAUGUCUUGACAGAGUUUAAGGUUUUGAUUGAAAAUGCACAAAACUCUUUUAACUAAUAUUUUAUUGUCCCUAAGCAAGUUGAGGAACCAGCCUUGGCCUUAAUCAGGGGUGGGAAGUCUAAACCUAUCACAGGAAGAUGAAAGAAACAAUUAGCAAUAACAAUAUAAUAAUCCUCUCAGGUUCCCUGUGUUUGAAAUGCCCCUGCAUGUCUUUCCUCCUGCUCUGUUGACAAGAGCUUUUACUGUUGCCAGCAGGCACAGUCAUCUCACUGGUCUGCAUUUGCUCAGGAUUCUGGCCUCACUUCUGAUAAAGGGCUUAUCAGUGUAUGCCACAAAGAGUAUCUGUUUACAUCUCUCGUGGGCAAGGAUCACUUCUUGGUUUCCCUCUUCCCAGUCCCAAGCACCUCAGAACAUGUUGACAGAAAGAAUGAAGAAAGCGGUUUGUUACUUUAUCAGGCAAGGCAGGAAAAAACAUUUUUCUGUAUAAGCAGAUGUUUGUGACACUACAUCUUUAUUUGUGAGUAGGAGAUGUGAAGACAAGUGAGGAAGGCAGUUUUAACCUUUUUUUUCCACACCACUGAAUGUUUGUGUCAUUUUCUUAUUUUUCCUUCUGUCUGUUGCUAUGUACCAAGAGCAAAGGUACUGUUUACGCAUGUAGCCGUGGGCUAUAAGAAUACUCUAUUCAAAUGAAGACAGAUCAUGUCUUACAACGUUUGUAAAACUUGGCUAUAAAUCAGAGGAUUUAUGAAACAGACAAAACCAUAAAAAUUAUCUCAAUGAAUCACCAGUUUCUUGUUUUGGAAACUUUUUUUUCCUUGAAAAUACUACAAGAAAUCGCUGAGCUGUUCAGUUUUGUCCACAGUGUACUGCAAAUUCAUCUGCAGCAGGUCCUUAUUUAGUGACUCAUUCAGCAAAGGUCCUCAUUCGGUCCCUGUCACUCACUCAGUCCCUGUCACUCCUCCCUGAAGGUCACUGAGCCCUGUGCUUGCCCUGCCCCCAAUAUCCUCCUGCUCUGCUCCAAGGCCCGUUUAAUAUGGAUAAUGUUUGAAUCAGGCACUAUUUAACUUCUCUCCCUGCUUUUUUGUCAUGGUCCCCCAAACAGAGUACAGUCCCUCCCAACAGACAACCCCAGGACUCAUGAUUUCUUGUCUAAUAAAAUUUUGACUUUA